GCCGCCUCUCGGCCGGCGGAGCCCCGCGGCGGGUGCGGGACUGGCGGGCUGCGGAGCUGAGUGGCUUUGCCGGCUCGACACCGCCGGGCCUGGAGGCGUUGACUUCAGCUCUGCGUGUUUUCCUUCGGGCUGCCCUCAGGGCUUCUGUUUUCGAAUCAAGGGUUGUGUUAAGGUGACUGGCUAACACUGGAACGUUCCAUUUCAGCAGUCCUCAGAACAGAGAUACUGGAGUGCUGGAUGGUGACUCAACCACUUCCCAGGACAGCCCAUUCCCCUCCUCUGGACCUGCAAUGAGCAAUUUCUCAUUUUGCUUAUGCUGGAGCCCCAGAGCUGAAUGCAGUACUCCUGGAGGAAACAGAGAAGAGGGAGACAACUACCUCCAUCACCCUGCUGGUCACACUUCCUUUGGUGUAGCCCAGGAUACAAUUGGUUUUCUGGGCUGCAAGUGCACAUUACUGGCUCAUGUUGAGCUUCUCAGCAUCCAACACCUCCAAGUCAUUCUCCUCAGGAUUUCCCUCAGUACAUUCUUUGCAGUAACUGGAAGC